UACAGAGGUGCCAAGCGUUAGGCGGAAUCACUGGGCUUAAAGCGUGUGUAGGCGGACCUAGCAAGUAUCUUGUGAAAAUCCCACGGCUCAACCGUGGAACUGCUGGAUAUACUGCUGGUCUUGAGCGACCCUAGGGGGCUACCGGAACAAAAUGGUGGAGCGGUGAAAAUGCGUAGAUAUCAGGAGGAACACCGGUGGUGUAGACGGCUUUUCUGGACCGUAACUGACGCUGAGACACGAAAAGCGUGGGUAGCAAACAGG
rnacentral:rRNA from 1 species